rnacentral:lncRNA from 1 species
GUUGAUGUGAGUCUGCCAGGCAUGGUGGUACACGCCUGUAAUCCCAGCUACUCAGGAGGCUGAGGCAGGAGGAUCUCUUGAGCCCAGGAGUUCAAGGCUGCAAUGAGCUAUGAUCACGCCACUGCACUCCAGCCUGGGUGACAGAGUGAGAGUCAAAACAAAACAAAAUAAAACAAACAAAAAGCCUGGUUAAGGUGAAUCUAACUGGGCUUUGGCUUACCUUCUCUUUUUUGGGAGGUAGAAGGUUUUUGGAAGGUAGAAGGAUGUAUUGCAAUGAUUCCCCAGCUUCAUUCACUAGCACACCACCUUCAUGAUUUUUGACGUGUCCACAUAUCAGUUGUACUAUUAUUUUCUUAAUUAGACUUUCUUAUUUUCUUAUCUUCACCUAUGAUAUUUUUUAAUGGAACCAUGGCUUUGCAAUACAUAUGAUGUUUUUUCAAAUAUACAUUAAAAUGCAAAACUAUUAAAAUAAUUUUUUUUUUACCACCUAAGAUUAUUUUAUGUGUACUACCUUAGGAAACAAUGUCAUGUAGGCUUUGGAAUCAGGCAGGCUUGUUCAGGUAAUACCUGUAUGUCCUUGGGCAAGCCACACUCUCUAACCUCCAAUAUUGUCAUAAUAAGUGUGUCUUCCUUAGGAUUUUGGUGAGGGCUAGAUGGGUCAGUUUGUGUGUGUGUGUCUGUGUGUGUGUUGCGUGUCUGUGUGUGUAGAUGUGGGUCUCACUGUGUUGCUCAGGCUGGUCUCAAACUUCUGGGCUCAAAUGAUCCUCCUGCCUCGGCCUUCCAAGUGCUGGAAUCACAGACGUAAGCCACUGCACCCAGCCCUAGAUGGGAUGAUUUAAACACUGUGUUUCAACUGCCUUGCACGUGGGUAACACCUAGUAAGUACUCAGUCACUGUUAACCAUUGCUGUUCCUGCAUUCUCUAUUUCUGCACUUUGUCUGCUUCUCUGUAUUUCCUUUCUUUCCUUUUUGGUCUGUUUGCAGCAGGAACCAGCAUGGAAUGGGUUUGCUUACUGGAGCAUAUGAAAUGUAUGUAAAGCCCUCAGGGACCAGGACAGAAAGCUAAGUGUGGUGCCUCUGCGGGGUCCGGGUGUGUAUAAUAGAAUCUAAUGAUGUGACUUGUUAUCCCAUCGUGCUUGUGUGGUUGAGAUAAUAACAUUGUUUCUAUAGAACCUGCUUUAAAGGGUCAAAGCCCUCAUGGACAUUAUCUAGCUCAUCUCUCUUAAGUGUGGACAAGUGUUAUCGUCCUCGUUUUUCAGGUGGAGAAAUCAAGACCCCAACAGAGGGCUGACCAGGUUACUCAGCAAUGCUGUGGCAGAAACACACAAAAGAGUCCGUGGCUUGUGAUUCACAGGCCAAGACGCUGCCUUGGCGCAGCACUCCCCGUGUUGACGUGGAAGGUGGUGAUGGCAGUGAGCAAAAAAGUGAUCCAUGCACAGAUGCAUUUGUGAACGCCGGAUGAAACAAAGUUAAAAUAGGUGGGUUUUUUUUUUCUGUAGGAUUUCUCAGUCUUUCAUAAGAUAACAUGCAUGAUGAUUCUCCGAGGGAGAUAGAGCAUACAUAAUUUUCCACAUGUGAGCAUUAAGUAUACCUACUUAGGAACUCUAAAGAUAGUGUCCCUCAGAGCACUAGUUUGGGAAAUAGCGUCUUAGUUGAUCAUACUGUCUUGAAAGCCUUCUUCUGAUUUCUUUAUGUUAUAAAAGAAAGCUGCUUUUGGAAUGCUAAAACAAAAACAAAAACAAAAACAAAUCCCAUGUCCGAAAUCAUUCUACCCCCAUAUCACCCUAGUCCCACCCUGGGGACUAGGAUUUCAUUCCUGUAUCACUUGUUGCUACACGCCUGGGGAACUGCCUGCCUUUGAUCACAUACUUACUAAUGUGUAAUAUUUCAACUCUAUUUGGUUCUUAAGUUAUUUCAUUUUAUUUUAUUUGUGAGAUGGAGUUUUGCUCUUGUUGCCCAGGCUGGAGUGCAAUGGUGCAAUCUUGGCUCAUCGCAACCUCCACCUCCCGUGUUCAAGCAAUUCUCCUGUCUCAGCCUCCCAAGUAGCUGGGAUUACAAGCACACACCGCCACACCCAGCUAAUUUUGUAUUUUUAGUAGAGACGGGUUUUCUCCAUGUUGGUCAGGCUGGUCUUGAACUCCUGACCUCAGGUUAUCCGCCUGCCUCGGCCUCCCAAAGUGCUGGGAUUACAGGUGUGAGCCACUGCCCCCGGCCAAGUUAUUUUUUUAAUUCGUAAUUUUUCUUUUUUUUUAAUUUUGAGGACUUAAAAUAAUACAAGAAAAUAAUAACUUCUAAUUUUUAAAAUGAAAGUGUUGAUAGAAAGUUAGUGUUAGGAGAAAUGUCAUAUUAUACAGAAAGGACGUGAAGUCCUACAGAGGCCAGGUCACAUGGCAGGACAAUAGCAUACCCACAAAUAGAAGAGAAGUAUCCUGUCUCUUGGGACAGACUGUUUUUCACUGCUGAAGCGUUCCUUUGCUUUGAUUUAUAGGUGAGGUGUAUUGCUGAGCCAUUUCAGCGAUCUUGACUCUGUGUUUCUCAUUUAGAUAUUUAAUAUAAAAUACUGUGUGGGAAGAAAAGGAAGUCAUGGAAGCAUCUGUUUUACAAAUACGAAGUAGACACAAAGCUCUCUUUCCACAGAGAGCCCUCCUUUAUUAUACCAACGUGAGAGGUCAGGACCAAUCCCACGUUACAGGCUCACCCUGCUCACACUAGGCUUUUACGUAGCGCAGUGGCCGUGUUAAGGACUGAUGAGCAGGUUUCCCCUGCAGCCGAGGUCCCCUUGCUGUAGGAGAAAUGAAGCAUAGUCAGGGCGGAGGCCCUGAAAAGGAGAUGACGUGACAGAGGAUUCACACUUUAUCACUUUUGUUUUCUGAAGAGGUUUGAGAUGGCUUAACAUGAAGAACAUGCAUAUCAGAAUUGGUGUUUUGUUGUUGUUUGUUUUGUUUUGUUUUUGUUUUUGUUUUUGUUUUUGUUUGAGACAGAGUCUCGCUCUGUUGCCCAGGCUGGAGUGCAGUGGCGCCAUCUGGACUCACUGCAACCUCUGCCUCCCGAGUUCAAGCAAUUCUCCUGCCUCAGCCUCCCGAGUAGCUGGGAUUACAGGCAUCUGCCACCACACCUGGCUAAUUUUUGUAUUUUUAGUAGAGACAGGGUUUCACCAUGUUGGCCAGGCUGGUCUCGAACUCCUGACCUCAGGCAAUCCACUCACCUCAGCCUCUCAAAGUGCUGGGAUUACAGGCAUGAGCCACCAUGCCCGGCCAAUUCCAGGGGACUUUAAAAAAAUGUUCACAAAAAACGAAAAAGAAUGAGGGUAAUAUAAGACUCAACACUCUCCAUUCAAAAUGAACAAAUGUUAACACUUAGUCAUAUGUUCUCUAGACCUUAAAAACAAAAAGAAGGAAUGAAACAUUACAGAUAAAGUUGAAGUCCCUGUAUCAAUGUGAUGGGCUAGCUAUGCUACAGUAACAAACAUAUACUCCCACAGUUUUAGUGGCUUAAGGAAGCAGAGAUCCAUUUCUCAGUCAUGCCUCAUGUUCACUGUGGGUCAUUUGGAAACUAUCAUACACUGUCUUCACUCCAGGACCCAGCGGAUGAAGUGGACUGAAACACUGAAUCUGAAACAUUGAUGAUCACUACAGCAAAGGGAAGAGCUCGGUAAAUUGUGCAUAUCGUUCUUAGAUCUUCCACCCAAAAGUAACACUUCCACUUACAUGUAUUGGCCACGGUAAGUCAUGUGGUUGUGCCUAACUUCAAAGAAUGUAAGGACAUACAAUCCUACCAUGUACUGGAAGGAAAUCCAGAAGAUUCCUUUUUUUUUUUUUUUUUUUUUGAGAUGGAGCCUUGCUCUGUCUCCAGGGUGGAGUGCAGUGGUGCGACCUCGGCUUACUGCAACCUCCGCCUCCGGGGUUCAAGUGAUUCCCCUGCCUCAGCCUCCCGACUAGCUGGGAUUACAGGCACACACCGCCACGUCUGGCUAAUUUUUUUUUGUAUUUUAGUAGACACAGGAUUUCACCAUGUUGGCCAGGAUGGUCUCUAUCUCCUGACCUUGUGAUCCACCUGCCUCGGCCUCCCAAAGUGCUGGGAUUACAGGUGUGAGCCACCACGCCUGGCCAGAAAGGCUCUUAAAGAGGCCUAAUGACUAUCACAGUCCCAGAACUGCUUCCCUCUCCCGCUAGAAGCAGCCACAUGAAUGUGACGUGUAUCUAGACCCUAUUUUAUAUUUUCACUACAAAUACACUGUAAUAGAGAUGGUAUUCAUUUGCAUAUUUUAGAAAAUAUUUGUUAAUGGGAUCAUCCUUUUAUAAUGUACAAUUUUUAGUCAAUAAUUUUCAGGACUUAUCAAUGCUGAAUCAUAUAGAUCUAGUUCAUUGAUUUAAACUGUUAUAUAGAAUUCCACAUUAGAAAUAUACUGUGAUUUAUUUAUCUAUUCUCCUACAAAUGAACAAACUAUUUACAAUUUUUUUUUUUUUGGGAUGGAGUCUCACCCUGUUGCUCAGGCUGGAGUGCAAUGGCGCAAUCUUGGCUCACUGCAACCUCCGCCUCCCGGGUUCAAGUGAUUCUCCUGCCUCAGCCUCCUGAGUAGCUGGGAUUACAGUCACGUGCCACCACGCCUGGCUAAUUUUUUUUUUGAGAUGGAGUCUCGCUCUGUCACCCAGGCUGGAGUGACACAAUUGUGCUGCAGUGGCACAAUCUCGGCUCACUGCAAGCUCCGCCUCCUGGGUUCACGCCAUUCUCCUGCCUCAGCCUCCCAAGUAGCUGGGACUACAGACGCCCGCCACCACGCCCUGCUACUUUUUUGUAUUUUUAGUAGAGAUGGGGGUUUCACCAAGUUCGGCAGGAUGGUCUUGAACUCCUGACCUUGUGAUCCGCUCACCUCGGCCUCCCAAAGUGCUGGGAUUACAGGUGUGAGCCACCGCGCCCAGCCGGACUAUGGACAUUUUCAAGUUUUCUAGAUAUUGUCAAGUUAUUCUCACAAAUGACCUUGUCAUUUACACUUCUGCCAGAUGUGCAUGAGAGUUCUCAUUUUCAUACCUCUUUGCCAACAUUUGCUAUUGUCAAACAUUUUACUUUUGGCCAGUUCCAUGGGUGUGAAAUUGUAUCUUAGUGUUGUUUUUAAAUUGUAUGUCCCUGGUUGCUAGUGAGUGGAGCCUUUUUUCAUAUUUGGUCAUUGAGUUUCUUUUUCUGCUGCAUGGUAUUGUUCAAAUUCUUUGCCCAUUUCUCUGCUGGGCUGUUCAUGUUUUUCCUUUUUUUUUUUCUUGAGACGGAGUUUCACUCUUGUUGCCCAGGCUGGAGUGCAAUGGCACGAUCUUGGCUCACUGCAACCUCUGCCUCCUGGGUUCAAGUGAUUCUCCUGCCUCAGCCUCCCAAGUAGCUGGGACUAUCACACCUGGCUAAUUUUUGUAUUUUUUGUAGAGGCGAGGUUUUGCCAUGUUGCCCAGGUUGGUCUUAGACUCCUGAGCUCAGGACUGUGCUUAACCCAACACAACAUUUUCCAGAUCUAGCCAUUCAAACAUUUCUUGCAAUUUAGGCAAGUACAGAAUACAUCCUCUGUUCAUGGAGGGGGUUACUUAGGGAUAGAAGGAAUAUAUAAAAUGAGUCUACAUAUUUUUUUAUUUCAAAUUUUUUUAAUUUAAAAAAGUUUUUUUUGUUUUUUUUUUUUUGUUUUAUUUUUUGUAGAGACAGGGUCUUGCUAUGUUGCCCAGGCUGGUGACAAAAUCCUGGGUUCAAGAGUCUAUAUAUAUAGACUCAUUUUCUAUAUUCCUUCUAUCCCUAAGUAACAGUUAUUGUUAUCCAAAGAUCAGCCGGUCCAAAUGCCCUUCUCACAGAGGGCUUCUUUGACCUAGAAGGCAAUGGAAGUGUUUAAAAUAAGCUGACCAGUUCCUUAAAUGAAACUGAAUUUAUGUUACUCUCUAACAGACCAAGGCUGAGCAGUCAAUGGUGCCCUGUGCUCAUGAAUGGACAGUAGUGUCUUGCAAAGGGACCAUGAGCUGAAAAGACAUUCUUAAGUGCAAAAAUAGUGUGGUAAUUAUAGGAGUAAGUGGAGAGUCAAUUUCUUCUUAAAACAUCAUCGUUAUUAAAAUAGACUAAGUGCAGGGGUGUUGGGAUUAUGACGUUGUUUACGGUAUUUUUUCCCUUCUCUAUUCUCCAAAUAUUCUGCAAUGAACUUACACUAUACUAAUAAUUCAAAAAUCAUAAUGAGAAGUAAAACCAAAAUGUAACCCACUGUGAUGAUAAGGAUUCUCAGUUUCUCAAGUAGAUGUUCAUCUCAAGCAGUAAAGGGGGCGGGGAAAAUUCCAAGGCAGAAAAGCAUAAGGGUCUUUCCCACUUGCAAGCUUUUCAAAGUCAAGUCGAAAGUGUUAGAAAACUGAAGCUUUACGUGGAAAAUGGGGGAGGACGUGGCCAGAUGCUGUGAUGGAAAAGCAUAAAGAGGAAGAACUGCUGAUGGAAGGAGAGGAACAGAAUGGACGAGGAAGGAAGAGGGAGGCUUGGCCAAGGGCAAGGGUAUCCUGGAAUAGGAGGUGUGUAUGCCUGGGGGAGCAAGGCAGCAAGGAACAGAGGAAAGAAUACAGGGAGAGUCGAUGUCCACGACUCACGUGGAAGCCGUGGCUCUGUCCUUUGCUAGUGUUUGGCCAUGGGCUCUUGGCGCAGCCUGGUCUGUGAAAUAAAGGGGUACGCAGGGUCGUCCUGUGACCCAUGUGUGACGACAUUAUAGGAAAACAUUUGGAGAACACAGAGGUUCUGUCCGCAGGUUACUUAGUCUUAAUGAGAAAAGGGCUUGACCUCAGCCUCUUGAAGAAGGUACAAAAAGAGAGAGAGAAAAGGGCACCAGAGGAGUGCUAGUAAAGAGCAGAAAGAGAAAAAAACUCCCAGCUGGGGCACAGUGGGAAGAGUGCAUGAGAGAACAGCGUCAGAGCCUCCAAACACAGGGGCCCACCCAUCGCCAUCCCUUCCUCAUUCACUGUGAGUGACCUGGGGUUACGUGCCUGCUGGGCCUCAGGAGACAGAUUUGGGGGGAACACCGGACAGGCACUGUAUGUAUCUAAAGUCUAAUCAUGUUUUUUUUUAAUUUCUUUUUCUUUUUCUUUCUUUUUUUUUUUUUUUUUUUUUUUUGAGAUGGAGUCUUGCUCUGUUGCCCAGGCUGGAGUGCAAUAGCACGAUCUCAGCUCACUGCAACCUCCGCCUCCCAGGUUCAUGCUAUUCUCCUGCCUCAGCCUCUCCAGUAGCUGGGAUUACAGCAUGCACCACCACAUCUGGCUAAUUUUUGUAUUCUUAGUAGAGGCGGGGUUUCACCAUGUUGGCCAGGCUGGUCUCAAACUCUUGACCUCAUGAUCCGCCUGCCUCGGCCUCCCAAAGUACUGGGAUUACAGGCAUGAGCCACCGCACCCGGCCCUCUUUUUCUUUUUCUUUUUCUUUCUUUUUUUUUUUUUUUGAAACAGAGUUUCACUUUUGUUGCCCAGGCUGGAGUGCAAUGGCCUGAUCUCAGCUCACCACAACCUCCGCCUCCUGGGUUCCAGUGAUUCUCCCAUCUCAACCUUCUGAGUAGCUGGAACUACAGGCAUGCGCCACCACGCCUGGCUAAUUUUUGUAUUUUUAGUAGAGACAGGGUUUCUCCAUGUUGGCCAGGCUGGUCUUAAACUCCCGACCUCAGGUGAUCUGCCCGCCUCAGCCUCCCAAAGUGCUCCGAAAGUGCUGGGUGCUGUGAGCCGCCGUUCCCGGCCUUUUUUUUUUUUUUUUUAGAGAUAAGGUCUGGCUCUGUCACCCAGAGUGCAGUGGCAUAAUCAUAGCUCACUAUAAUUUACCACCAUGCUCAGCUAAUUAUUUUUAUUUGUUUUUUGUAGUGACGGGGUCUUGCUAUGUUGCCCAGGCUGGUUUCAAACUCCUGGGCUCAAGUGAUCCUUUUGCCUUGUUCUCCCAAAAUGCUGGGAUGACAGGCCUGAGCCACCAUGCCCAGCCUGUUAUUUCUUAUUAAAUCUCUUUGCACAACAUUGGGAGAGCUUGCCAGCAAAGGGCAGCAAGUCAUCUAGAAAGACGCAUUUUGAUAGGUGGAAACUUAACACCAAACGAAGAGGGAUUUUUUUUCCUGCCCCAGUGGUCCUCACUUUCUGUGGCCUGAAGCUUGUGUCCCUUAGCUGCUUAAAUUCCCCAAGACUCAGCUGACUUCAGGGGUAAAUCACUACCUUGGUGCUCUCUCCCUCAUACACCUUGAAAGCUGAGGAUUGUGUUUUGGUUUUUUUCUCUCCCUAAAAGGUAGCUGUACUCUGUCUUCCUUUUAACCACAGUUCCCUAGAAAAUAAGAACUGUGACAAACAAAAGGAGAUGGGUACAAGAAUAGGCCUUACUCCUCUUCUCCCCCAGUUCCUCAGCCCCAGAUCCCAGGGACCCUAACCAUGGUUGCAGUUUUCGUUGAGGAAUUAAGGCCUACAAAGAAAAUCUAAUGCGCAGUAACCUAAGCUUGACUCUUGGCUUAGAAGUCCCAGCUUCAGGAAAAGCCUACCCAUUAGGUUCUUUCCUCAUUCUGUUGAGGUAGCUCUUAUGAGCUCUAUUUUACACACAUGGCUCCUCAGACUUAGAGAGAGUAAGUCAGUUUCCCAAAGUCUGCAGUGG